UACAGAGGGGGCAAGCGUUAUUCGGAAUUAUUGGGCGUAAAGGGCGCGUAGGCGGCCUUUCAAGUGACGGGUGAAAGCCCUCGGCUUAACCCGAGGAACUGCCUGUCAGACUGGAAGGCUUGAGACCGGGAGAGGUGAGUGGAAUUCCCAGUGUAGCGGUGAAAUGCGUAGAUAUCUGGAGGAACACCGGUGGCGAAGGCGGCAUCCUGGACCGGUAUUGACGCUGAGGAGCGAAAGCCAGGGGAGCAAACGGG
rnacentral:rRNA from 1 species